rnacentral:lncRNA from 1 species
UUAGGAACAGAGAGUAAGGCUGUGCCCUAAGAGACUGGUCAAAAUGGCCAGGUAAUAGGAGAAACCAUCAAGCUAAUUAACACAAGAGCACAGACAGCAUAUAAACAAACAUGCACACUAACACCCAGGAUGGAUAUAUCUAAGUUUGCUCAUCAGACCGAAAGUUUUCCAAUCUGGCAUGCUCCAGACUGCCAAGUGACAAAUAACAAAAGAAGCUAUG